rnacentral:rRNA from 1 species
GAUGAACGCUGGCGGCGUGCCUAAUACAUGCAAGUCGAGCGAACAGACGAGGAGCUUGCUCCUCUGACGUUAGCGGCGGACGGGUGAGUAACACGUGGAUAACCUACCUAUAAGACUGGGAUAACUUCGGGAAACCGGAGCUAAUACCGGAUAAUAUAUUGAACCGCAUGGUUCAAUAGUGAAAGACGGUUUUGCUGUCACUUAUAGAUGGAUCCGCGCCGCAUUAGCUAGUUGGUAAGGUAACGGCUUACCAAGGCAACGAUGCGUAGCCGACCUGAGAGGGUGAUCGGCCACACUGGAACUGAGACACGGUCCAGACUCCUACGGGAGGCGGCAGUAGGGAAUCUUCCGCAAUGGGCGAAAGCCUGACGGAGCAACGCCGCGUGAGUGAUGAAGGUCUUCGGAUCGUAAAACUCUGUUAUUAGGGAAGAACAAAUGUGUAAGUAACGAUGCACGUCUUGACGGUACCUAAUCAGAAAGCCACGGCUAACUACGUG